AGUGAACGCUGGCGGUAGGCCUAACACAUGCAAGUCGAACGGCAGCACAGUAAGAGCUUGCUCUUACGGGUGGCGAGUGGCGGACGGGUGAGGAAUACAUCGGAAUCUACUUUUUCGUGGGGGAUAACGUAGGGAAACUUACGCCAAUACCGCAUACGACCUACGGGUGAAAGCAGGGGAUCUUCGGACCUUGCGCGAUUGAAUGAGCCGAUGUCGGAUUAGCUAGUUGGCGGGGUAAAGGCCCACCAAGGCGACGAUCCGUAGCUGGUCUGAGAGGAUGAUCAGCCACACUGGAACUGAGACACGGUCCAGACUCCUGCGGUAGGCAGCAGUGGGGAAUAUUGGACAAUGGGCGCAAGCCUGAUCCAGCCAUACCGCGUGGGUGAAGAAGGCCUUCGGGUUGUAAAGCCCUUUUGUUGGGAAAGAAAAGCAGCAGGUUAAUACCCCGCUGUUCUGACGGUACCCAAAGAAUAAGCACCGGCUAACUUCGUG
rnacentral:rRNA from 1 species